GGUCAGGUAGCUCAGUUGGUAGAGCAUCGGACUGAAAAUCCGAGUGUCGGGAGUUCAACUCUCCCCCUGACCA
rnacentral:tRNA from 2 species